GCCUGGAUAGCUCAGUUGGUUAGAGCAUGGUGCUGAUAACGCCAAGGUUGCAGGUUUGAUCCCCAUAUGGGACA
rnacentral:tRNA from 1 species